rnacentral:rRNA from 1 species
GAAAGAAAUUAAAGUUUAACUCCCCGAAACUAGGUGAGCUACUUCGAAACAGCUAAAAGAGCAAACCCGUCUCUGUCGCAAUAGAGUGGGACGAUUUCCAAGUAGAGGCGACAAACCUACCGCACCAAGAGAUAGCUGGUUACUCAAGAAAAGAAUAUUAGUUCAACCUUAAACUUUUCUAGUUUUUCUAAACAUUAAUUAAGUUCAAGAGUUAUUUAAAUAAGGCACAGCUUAUUUGAAAAAGGAUACAACCUGAAACAUAGGGUAAUAAUAUUGAGAAAAAUAUCAAGUGGGCCUAAAAACAGCCACCUUUUAAAAAGCGUUAAAGUUUACUAUUUCUCCUAUUUAAUACCUUUAUCAUUAUUUAACCCAUAAUCAGUAUUGAGUAAUUCCAUAACCCUAUGGAAGAUUUUAUGCUAGAACUAGUAAUAAGAAGUAGAACUUCUCCAAAAUGUAAGCCUAAGCCAUUUUAGACACUAUUGGUGAUUAACGAAAAUGAAUUAACUUUAGUAACAUCUUACAAGAAAAACCUAAAAAAUAAUAACGUUAACCUUACACUAGAACAUUAACGGAAAGAUUAAAAGAGAAAGAAGGAACUCGGCAAAUCUUAACCCCGCCUGUUUACCAAAAACAUCACCUCUUGUCAAACAUAAGAGGCCCAGCCUGCCCAGUGACAAAGUUCAACGGCCGCGGUACCCUAACCGUGCAAAGGUAGCAUAAUCACUUGUUCUUUAAAUGAGGACUAGUAUCAACGGCAUCACGAGGGUCAAACUGUCUCCUUUCUCCAAUCAAUGAAACUGAUCUUCCCGUGAAGAAGCGGGAAUUUUCUUAUAAGACGAGAAGACCCCAUGGAGCUUUAAACCCAGUUACACCUCUAUUUUUUAUUCCAUUUUAACCUCUAGAAUCCUGUACACCUGGUUUUAGGUUGGGGUGACCGCGGAGCAUAAAUUAGCCUCCACAAUGAACGGGAAUUAUUCCCUUACCUAAGAACUACACUUCUAAGAAUUAGUAUUCUAACAUAAAGUGAUCCGACUAUUCGAUCAACGAACCAAGUUACCCUGGGGAUAACAGCGCAAUCCACUUCAAGAGCUCCUAUCGACAAGUGGGUUUACGACCUCGAUGUUGGAUCAGGGUGUCCUAGUGGUGCAGCA